rnacentral:rRNA from 1 species
GAUGAACGCUGGCGGCGUGCCUAAUACAUGCAAGUCGAGCGAACAGAUGAGGAGCUUGCUCCUCUGACGUUAGCGGCGGACGGGUGAGUAACACGUGGAUAACCUACCUAUAAGACUGGGAUAACUUCGGGAAACCGGAGCUAAUACCGGAUAAUAUAUUGAACCGCAUGGUUCAAUAGUGAAAGACGGUUUUGCUGUCACUUAUAGAUGGAUCCGCGCCGCAUUAGCUAGUUGGUAAGGUAACGGCUUACCAAGGCAACGAUGCGUAGCCGACCUGAGAGGGUGAUCGGCCACACUGGAACUGGGACGCGGUCCAGACUCCUACGGGAGGCAGCAGUAGGGAAUCUUCCGCAAUGGGCGAAAGCCUGACGGAGCAACGCCGCGUGAGUGAUGAAGGUCUUCGGAUCGUAAAACUCUGUUAUUAGGGAAGAACAAAUGUGUAAGUAACUAUGCACGUCUUGACGGUACCUAAUCAGAAAGCCACGGCUAACUACGUG